rnacentral:rRNA from 5 species
CCUACGGGAGGCAGCAGUGGGGAAUAUUGGACAAUGGGCGAAAGCCUGAUCCAGCAAUGCCGCGUGAGUGAUGAAGGCCUUAGGGUUGUAAAGCUCUUUUACCAGGGAUGAUAAUGACAGUACCUGGAGAAUAAGCUCCGGCUAACUCCGUGCCAGCAGCCGCGGUAAU